rnacentral:rRNA from 1 species
AUUGAACGCUGGCGGCAUGCUUUACACAUGCAAGUCGAACGGUAACAGGUUAAGCUGACGAGUGGCGAACGGGUGAGUAAUGCAUCGGAACGUGCCCGGUCGUGGGGGAUAACACUUCGAAAGAAGUGCUAAUACCGCAUACGAUCUGAGGAUGAAAGCGGGGGACCGUAAGGCCUCGCGCGAUCGGAGCGGCCGAUGUCAGAUUAGGUAGUUGGUGGGGUAAAGGCUCACCAAGCCGACGAUCUGUAGUUGGUCUGAGAGGACGACCAGCCACACUGGGACUGAGACACGGCCCAGACUCCUACGGGAGGCAGCAGUGGGGAAUUUUGGACAAUGGGCGCAAGCAUGAUCCAGCAAUGUCGCGUGCAGGAAGAAGGCCUUCGGGUUGUAAACUGCUUUUGUACGGAGCGAAAAGGCUCUCUCUAAUACAGGGGGCUCAUGACGGUACCGUAAGAAUAAGCACCGGCUAACUACGUGCCAGCCGCCGCCGUAA